rnacentral:rRNA from 1 species
AUUGAACGCUGGCGGCAGGCCUAACACAUGCAAGUCGAGCGGAUGAAGGGAGCUUGCUCCUGGAUUCAGCGGCGGACGGGUGAGUAAUGCCUAGGAAUCUGUCUGGUAGUGGGGGAUAACGUCCGGAAACGGGCGCUAAUACCGCAUACGUCCUGAGGGAGAAAGUGGGGGAUCUUCGGACCUCACGCUAUCAGAUGAGCCUAGGUCGGAUUAGCUAGUUGGUGGGGUAAAGGCCUACCAAGGCGACGAUCCGUAACUGGUCUGAGAGGAUGAUCAGUCACACUGGAACUGAGACACGGUCCAGACUCCUACGGGAGGCAGCAGUGGGGAAUAUUGGACAAUGGGCGGAAGCCUGAUCCAGCCAUGCCGCGUGUGUGAAGAAGGUCUUCGGAUUGUAAAGCACUUUAAGUUGGGAGGAAGGGCAGUAAGUUAAUACCUUGCUGUUUUGACGUUACCAACAGAAUAAGCACCGGCUAACUUCGUG